AGACUCCUACGGGAGGCAGCAGUGGGGAAUAUUGGACAAUGGGCGAAAGCCUGAUCCAGCCAUGCCGCGUGUGUGAAGAAGGUCUUCGGAUUGUAAAGCACUUUAAGUUGGGAGGAAGGGCAGUAAGUUAAUACCUUGCUGUUUUGACGUUACCGACAGAAUAAGCACCGGCUAACUCUGUGCCAGCAGCCGCGGUAAUACAGAGGGUGCAAGCGUUAAUCGGAAUUACUGGGCGUAAAGCGCGCGUAGGU
rnacentral:rRNA from 1 species